AGCAUACACUGACACAGCUUGCAUGUACUGUAACAGGGUGGAGGUGCCUCCAUAAAGUCAACUACAGUAAUCAUAUGAUUUGUAACUGUCAUCUUAUUGGUCCGUCUGAAUUAUUGUUUGUUAUGAUUAGUUGCAGUUAUCACUCUGGAGAAUGCACUUCCACUUGGGGGUAUUCAUUAGUCGGAUUCCGUUGCAAAACGUUUUGAACCUAAAAUCUCACGUAAACCCUGUCCACAAUAGAUACAUUCUUAGUUCACCCAAAUUACAAAAUGACAUUUGUGUCAAUACCCUGUAAGCAGUCUAUGGUAUGACCGCAAUCAAUGUUUUAGUUAAGUUUCCCUGGCACUGUUUCCAAAUUCAUUUGUGACACAAAUCCCAUGUAGCAUGUUCAAAUCAUCUAUAAGUGACUUUGAUGAGCUUCAGAAUCAAUUUGAGAUACUUUCAGAUGAUUUGGACGUGAUGCGCAAAAAAAAUGCAAACAUCGGUCCCAUGACUUGAAUGUGGUUUGUGCCACAAAUGCUAAAAGGUUAGAAACGAAACCAAAGCAAGGGAAAUAAAACCAAGGCGUGGAUUGCUGUCAUACCUUACAAGCCGUAGCCUACAAAGGUCCUUCACCGCCACCUGCUGUUCGAAACCCCACGAAACACAGGCGCUCCUCUCCAAUGAGUGAGUAUCAACCUCUAUAGUGGUCUCCAUUCUCUACGAACCAGUUAGUCGACAGAGAAGCCAUUCUUCUGGAGGAGACUGUGGUGGGAGGCUGAAAAGAUGUCUGGAGUUGCAGAUGUGAACAUUGGGAUGUUUCCCUCACAUAACCAGACCAGCGCUACACUGUCCAGCAGAGAUCUUCAUUUACAUUUUAUAUAGCACUAAUAAAGCUGUACAUGGGUGGAAACAGAAACUCGCCUCAUCCAUUACCAAUGUGUAACACCCAUCUGAUUUCUCUGCCUCUACAGUGUUUCCCAUAUUGAUUAUUGCUUGGCUGGGUGGAAAAUCUCUCAAAGCAAAACCCCGGGCCUCUGACACCAAAACAUUCCAUUUACAGCUAAUGCUUUUGGGUAGUGGUCAACAGAGAUGGUGCCUAGCCUAUACAAUGGCCUAUACAAACAUUGAACUGUCAAGCAAGCAAACCAUUUAUCAU